rnacentral:tRNA from 1 species
GGCACUUUGGCGGAGUGGUUAACGCGAUGCCCUGCUACUGUAUACAUAGAGUCAGGCAUUUCCCUCGGGAGCGUGUGUUCGAAUCACACAGGUGUCG